rnacentral:rRNA from 1 species
AUACGUAGGUGGCAAGCGUUGUCCGGAAUUAUUGGGCGUAAAGCGCGCGCAGGUGGUUCCUUAAGUCUGAUGUGAAAGCCCCCGGCUCGACCGGGGAGGGUCAUUGGAAACUGGGGAACUUGAGUGCAGAAGAGGAUAGUGGAAUUCCAAGUGUAGCGGUGAAAUGCGUAGAGAUUUGGAGGAACACCAGUGGCGAAGGCGACUGUCUGGUCUGUAACUGACACUGAGGCGCGAAAGCGUGGGGAGCAAACAGGAUUAGAUACCCUGGUAGUCCACGCCGUAAACGAUGAGUGCUAAGUGUUGGGGGGUUUCCGCCCCUCAGUGCUGCAGCUAACGCAUUAAGCACUCCGCCUGGGGAGUACGGUCGCAAGACUGAAACUCAAAUGAAUUGACGGGG